GCAAGUCGAGCGAGAAAGUAAAGAUGGUUUCUUUGGAAGAAGUGUUUACUAGAAAGCGGCGGACGGGUGAGUAACGCGUUGGUAACCUGCCCCAUACACAGGGAUCGCCAUUGGAAACGAUGAUUAAUACCUGAUAACACAUCGAAGUCACAUGAUCUUGAUGUCAAAGAGUUAUCGGUAUGGGAUGGACCCGCGUCUGAUUAGCUAGUUGGUAAGGUAACGGCUUACCAAGGCGACGAUCAGUAGCCGACCUGAGAGGGUGAUC
rnacentral:rRNA from 1 species